GUCGGUUCGGUAGUUUGGAUUACCCUGCUAGAAUCAGAGAUCUCUAAAAUAGAUCGUUUAUUUGAAAAUAAAAGAGAGAAAACUAUUUUUUAAAGCCUUUUCUGGAUAUCUCUGAUAUAGUGAAACUUCAGUGUAACUGCGUGUCGCGCGUGACCCCGCCACUCUAUCUCCAGCGCGAGGCCGAGCUGAUGGCCGAGCAGUGCACCGGGCAGAUGAGUUCAAUGUGACGGAGAAACCCACAGCCGUCGCACAGAGACACUCUCCUUUCUCCUCAGGAAGAAACUGGUGCCUGCUCCACAGUUUGUCAUCACGGUCCUGGUCUGAUAUGCUCCAUUUCGCCUCCUCUUGAUCAAUGAGAUGGAUAUGUACGUUUUACACGUACGUCACAAGAAAUCGUCGAAGAAUCCUUGAACACUACAGAUCCAGUCAUGGUCACUAUGGAAGAAGACUAGCUCUCCCCUGCAUUUACAGCGAUUGUGUGUGCUAUUUCCCAUCACAAAAGGCUCUCCAAACACAUAAUUCCAACCAAAGAAAAGAGGAUGUCAUUCUGAGGGGCCUGCCGUAUUUCCUCCGUGAAGAUCCUUCAAAGUUCCUCAGGACUGCAGAGCCCACAGACAUGGAGGACAGCAUGACUAGGGGAAUGAAUGUCGGCAUUGUCGUAGUCAAACAAGGAGAGGAUCUUCUUGACAUAUCGGUGGUCCUAGAGGAACAGAUCAUUCUGCAUGGAAUCAAGGACUACUCACAUGCAGUCGUUAUGUUAAUGGGGCUGCUAUAUGCACUGAACAUUGACUACCCGAAGGAGCUGCAAUACACCUUCGAAGUCAUUCAGAAGGUUCUCAUGAACAUCGGCAGUGAGAACUGCUCCAGGGUUCAUGGACUGAGGAAUAGACUUUUUCGUAAAACUGUGUAGACACUACACUGAGACUGAGAGUUUUCUUUUGAGUUCUGUUACUACUAUUCUGUUACUACUAUCUGUUACUAGUUCAUUACUUUUGUAAUGGUCAAUGACAUUCUCAGUUGCAAGAGUUGACAGAAGUAGACUGGGUUUGAGGUCUUUCCUGGAAAGUCUUUUUGACCUGUUUGGUUCUGCAUCAUUUUAUUUUAUAUAAAUUAUACUCAUUACGUCUGUCAUGUUAUGACAGACGUAAUGAGUAGAGAACUAAUUUUUGUUAUUCUAAAUGUGUUAUUGUAAUAUUCUAAAUAGGCACACACACACACACGGCUCUCUCAUUUUUUUUGUAUACAUCCCAUAUCUGCUUCCUCUGGUCUCAUCUCCCAUAUUGCUAAUUAAUGUUUUAUUUUCUCUUUAAUAAAACAGUGACACACACACACACCUCUGUUUAAAUAUUUCUCUCCCGCCUGCCUCACUUCCCCUCACUUCAUCUUGUCAUUGCCUGUCAGUAGGGAUCCUUCUCUUGCUGGUACUCAAUGGACGUAAUGAGUACUCAUUUGUGUUAUUCUAAAGAGGAGAUGUUUUACCCAUAAGCUUGUGCUGUUUUUGGGGACGUUUUGUACUUGAUGGGAUGUGUUGCUGUGUUUACCUUGCCCAUCUGGUUUAUUAAAGCUUUGAAGAAAUGUUAAGCUUGCUGGUAGUUCUACCAGGAGGACUCAAAU